rnacentral:ribozyme from 1 species
UUCAUUACUGUUAGUAAACAGUGACAAACCUGUGGGGCUACUAUUGGGUUCUAUAUUUCUCCUGCAAAGAGAAUAUAGUACUAACAUAUCAUUUGCAGUGAUAUGAAUCCAAAGUUAGUGCAGACUUAAAAAUCAGGU